AUGACAGGGUAUAUCAGAACUUGUACAGAACAACAUAUAGACAUACAGACAGACAGAUUCUAUGCAACUACAUUGGAUUCACAACAACCUGCUGUUACAUUGGUAAACAAACAGACAAAGGGGGUUACAUUUUCACUUAGCAUUCACACACAUGUACAUGCAUUCAUCAUCAUCUAUACAAAUAAUAAUAAUAAUAAUAAUAAUAAUAAUAAUAAUAAUAAUAAUAACCCUAACUGGCCCAAUGGCCAAACAAUAAGGUGUCACCAGCCAGAGGCCUAUAAAUAUCUGGGCAUAUUACAGCUGGACAACAUCAAGCAUGAACAUGUGAAAACUGUGGUCAGUAAAGAAUACACACAAAGGGUCAGAAAAAUUCUCAAAAGCAAGCUCAAUGGAGGCAACACCAUCAAGGCCAUAAACACCUGGGCCAUACCUGUCAUAAGAUAUACUGCUGGCAUUAUAAACUGGACACAGAUGGAACUGGACAAUUUGGACAGAAAAACAAGAAAACUCAUGAACAUUCAUCAUUCACUGCACCCUCGCAGUGAUGUUGACCGGCUGUAUCUGCCUAGAAGAUCAGGGGGCAGAGGACUCUUACAAGUCAAACAAGCAGUCAAAGAAGAAGAACAUGCCCUGGCAGAAUAUGUAAAACAAAGUGAAGAACCUGCUUUGAUUGAAGUCAAAAAUCAGAAACUCCUCAAAGCACAGCAGACAAAAAACCAGUACAAGAAAACCGCACUACAAACUAGAGCUGACAGCUGGCACAACAAAACACUGCAUGGAAAGUUCCUUGACAAAAUUGAAGGAAAAGCUGAUAAGGAGAAGACCUGGCUCUGGCUCACGAAUGGGACCCUGAAGAAGGAGACAGAAGGCCUGAUCCUUGCAGCCCAGGAGCAAGCCAUCAGAACAAAUGCAAUUAAGGCCAAGAUCGAAAAAUCAGCUGAUGACCCAAAGUGCAGACUGUGCAAGGAAACAGAUGAAACCAUUGAUCAUAUCCUCAGCUGCUGUAAGAAAAUUGCACAGACAGACUACAAACAGAGGCACAACUAUGUGGCCCAAAUGAUUCAUUGGAACCUAUGCCUCAAGUAUCACCUCCCUGCAGUUAAGAACUGGUGGGAUCACAAACCUGCAAAAGUAUUGGAAAAUGAACACGCAAAGAUACUGUGGGACUUCCGAAUCCAGACUGACAAAGUUCUGGAACACAACACACCAGACAUCACAGUUGUGGAAAAGAACAAGGUUUGGAUCAUUGAUGUUGCCAUCCCAGGUGACAGUCGCAUUGAAGAAAAACAACAGGAAAAACUCAGCCGCUAUCAGGACCUCAAGAUUGAACUUCAAAGACUCUGGCAGAAACCAGUACAGGUGGUCCCGGUGGUGAUCGGCACAUUGGGUGCUGUGCCAAAAGAUCUCAGCCGGCAUUUGGAAACAAUAGACAUUGACAAAAUUACGAUCUGCCAACUGCAAAAGGCCACCUUACUGGGAUCUGCACGCAUCAUCCGAAAAUACAUCACACAGUCCUAG
rnacentral:lncRNA from 1 species